rnacentral:rRNA from 1 species
UACGUAGGGUGCGAGCGUUAAUCGGAAUUACUGGGCGUAAAGCGUGCGCAGGCGGUUUUGUAAGCCAGAUGUGAAAGCCCCGGGCUUAACCUGGGAAUGGCAUUUGGGACUGCAAGGCUGGAGUGUGGCAGAGGAGACUGGAAUUCCCGGUGUAGCGGUGAAAUGUGUAGAGAUCGGGAGGAACACCGGUGGCGAAGGCGGGUCUCUGGGCAAUUCCUGACGCUGAGGCGCGAAAGCGUGGGGAGCAAACGGG